rnacentral:rRNA from 1 species
GAUCAUGGCUCAGGAUGAACGCUAGCUACAGGCUUAACACAUGCAAGUCGAGGGGAAACGACAUCGAAAGCUUGCUUUUGAUGGGCGUCGACCGGCGCACGGGUGAGUAACGCGUAUCCAACCUGCCCACCACUUGGGGAUAACCUUGCGAAAGUAAGACUAAUACCCAAUGAUAUCCCACGAAGGCAUCCGAAUGGGAUUAAAGAUUUAUCGGUGAUGGAUGGGGAUGCGUCUGAUUAGCUUGUUGGCGGGGUAACGGCCCACCAAGGCGACGAUCAGUAGGGGUUCUGAGAGGAAGGUCCCCCACAUUGGAACUGAGACACGGUCCAAACUCCUACGGGAGGCAGCAGUGAGGAAUAUUGGUCAAUGGGCGAGAGCCUGAACCAGCCAAGUAGCGUGCAGGAUGACGGCCCUAUGGGUUGUAAACUGCUUUUAUACGGGGAUAAAGUGGGCCACGUGUGGCUUAUUGCAGGUACCGUAUGAAUAAGGACCGGCUAAUUCCGUG